AAGGGAGACCUAAUUCAGGUAGGAGACGAAAAAAAAGUAGUCCCAACCAAGAAUCAAUCCCAAAAGGUCGGAGCGAGGCGAAAUUGGCUUUCAAACAAGGUUCUGGGUUCACACAAGACCUGAAUCAGGAACAAGGGCUAUUAGCUCAGGUGGUUAGAGCGCACCCCUGAUAAGGGUGAGGUCCCUGGUUCGAGUCCAGGAUGGCCCACCUGCACAGGUGGCAAAAACAAGAGAAGCGAGGAAUCAGCACCUUAUCUUAUCUAUAUAUAUAUAGGAGAGAAUGCUGGCUCUGAGUAAAGAGUCCAGAGGAACCUUGAAAACUGCAUAGAGCUAGGUGAAAAAGCCAAAAAAGAAGACCGCAA
rnacentral:tRNA from 1 species